rnacentral:rRNA from 1 species
AGUGAACGCUGGCGGUAGGCCUAACACAUGCAAGUCGAACGGCAGCACAGGAGAGCUUGCUCUCUGGGUGGCGAGUGGCGGACGGGUGAGGAAUACAUCGGAAUCUACUUUUUCGUGGGGGAUAACGUAGGGAAACUUACGCUAAUACCGCAUACGACCUACGGGUGAAAGCAGGGGAUCGUCGGACCUGGCGCGAUUGCAUGAGCCGAUGUCGGAUUAGCUAGUUGGCGGGGUAAAGGCCCACCAAGGCGACGAUCCGUAGCUGGUCUGAGAGGAUGAUCGGCCACACUGGAACUGAGACACGGUCCAGACUCCUACGGGAGGCAGCAGUGGGGAAUAUUGGACAAUGGGCGCAAGCCUGAUCCAGCCAUACCGCGUGGGUGAAGAAGGCCUUCGGGUUGUAAAGCCCUUUUGUUGGGAAGGAAAUCCAGCUGGUUAAUACCCGGUUGGGAUGACGGUACCCAAAGAAUAAGCACCGGCUAACUUCGUGCCAGCCGCCGCAGUAA